ensembl:lncRNA
GUAAGAAUCAAAAGUAAAUGUAAUUGCUCAAAUAUACUUUGUCAAAAGUAAAAGUAUAAAUCACUUUAAAAUUCCUUAUUAUUAAGCAAACCAGAGCACCAUUUGCUUGUUUUUUAUUUUAAUUUACAGCUAGCCAGAUGCACACACCAAUACCCAGUUGACUACAUUAAAAUGGUAGAAGCACUCAAUGGUGCUGCCCAUCCUUAAACAGCGUUUUGGUCCCUAGAGGCCUUCACCACAUAGCCUGGUUUCUUCCUAGGUUUUGGCCUUUCUAGGGAGUUUUUCCUAGCCACCGUGCUUCUACACCUGCAUUGCUUGCUGUUUGGGGUUUCUGGCUGGGUUUCUGUACAGCACUUUGAGAUAUCAGCUGAUGUACGAAGGGCUAUAUAAAUCAAUUUGAUUUGGUCAUUAUCUAUGGGUAGGAUACACUUGACUAGCUGCAAAGAAAGGGGGCUAUUGAGGAAGCCUACUUGGUGGCUUUCCACACAACCCCUCAUAAUUGUUCCUCUGUCUUUUUAAAGGGGCCAUUUUGAUUGCUACAUACAUUUGACUUUUAAUUUCAUGACAUAUAGCCAUUGAUUCUUAAAGAUUAUAACUUAGAAAUGCCUCAUGAUCUUAGCUCAACUGUCCAACCCCAUCAACCCAAAGUGUAUGCUUGUUUUACUCAUUUGUGUGUAAACAAUGUGUACUUUUAAACCCUGUAUAGCCUCAACAUUUGUACAAAUGUAAAAAUAUGAGGAAGCCUACUUGGUGGCUUUCCACACAACCCCCUCAUAAUUGUUCCUCUGUCUUUUUAAAGGGGCCAUUUGAUUGCUACAUACAUUUGACUUUUAAUUUCAUGACAUAUGGCCAUGGAUGCAUACAUAGCUCUAUGAAUUCGAGUUGUUACAUUUGUCUAUUCCAAUUCCUCAGCUGUUUACCGAAACAGUGGCGGGGAAGCCUGCUGUGUUAUUGUUUGAACUGCAGAUUGCCUCUUCAAUCGAGAUUCGGUAAUAGACCGUCGCGAGAACACCACAGAGAAGACAACUUUUCCGUCUGCUCUCGUGGAGUCUGAGGUAAGUAAUCUCUGGCCAAUUUUAAUAACAAUCGCUUUAAUGUAGGUUAAAGCCGAAUGGCUAGACUUUUAAGUGGCUCUGUCAUUAGCUAACGGUCGCUUGGAAAUUGAUUUGAGGGCCUUGCUUCUAGCUAGUCUCACACAAAGGUAAUAAGACACGGCCACAAUUUAGCUAUGCUCAAAUAAAACUUCCAAUGUGACUCCAGGUUAAUGCUUCGUGUCAUUGUACGCAUUUUACUCUUAAUUACUGACUUUUCUUCUCACCUUUUUGUUUCAUGGUGGUUACGAAGAUGGACUGUUUUUUUAUCGUUUGGUGAAACGGUAUCUGUGAGAACUGACAACCUCGCCUGUAACCGCGCUCCCUCUGUGGCCCCUUUGACAGUGGUUGUGGUUUGUGUUGUACGGAAUUGAAGCCUGACAGAAAUCUAUCAUGCCUACCUACACUCUGUGGGUUCCCUUGAGUGAUUUCAAGACCGAUAAGCCAUAUUGAAUGACGGCACUGUAAAACUUUAAAUUUCAGUGAUUAGGUUAUAUUUAGUACUGUUAUAACUAGGCUGAAGAGUCUGAUCAGUCUGAUUCACAUGGUCCAAUAAUUUAAGUAUGUCACACAUGGGCAAAUAACACGUUUACCACGUACUACCAAGUACGAUUUUAAGUCUGAUCAAGACAUGACAAAGUGAUGGCAGACGAGCAUUCCUGUCCCCCCUGUGAAUUUAAUGUUGCUUCAAUUUUUCUCCUAGAAAACAGCAGUACACUUCAGAAAUCAUUGACAAUCCUUUCUUCUAGCUUCCCCAAUGAUUCAAAACCUCUGAUAGGUAGUGGAUGGAUGCUGCUGUGAAUGACUGAAUAAAAUGGUGAUAUUAAUCAAUCAAUGUAUACAUGCAGUAACAUGUUGGCUUUGAAUGGAAGGAAAGCUGAUGUGAUGCCCCUUUCUCUCUCUCUCACAAUGUGGGGGUUGUGAUUGUCUGUGGCUGGUGUGCACAAGAUGGUGAAGUUAACACCCAAUCAUGUCAUACCCCAAUUACCUCCAGGUACUACAAUCUGCCAUUGUCACACCAGACUGACCACAGACCUGUAUCACUGAUCAAUUUUUAAAAAUGCAUUCAAAGGAACACCUCAUUCAAAGCAUUGCCAACACCUGCAGUUGGAUAUUUGAUUAGCUGUCAGUGAUGGCGUGAAAUGUUAUAUGUCCAGGUUUCAGCAGGACAAGCAUUGUGCCCCAUCCAUAAGAGAGAGCAGAUUAAGCUUUUCUGUGUGACUUGUGAUCAGCGGACUUGCCGUGAUUACCUCGACUAACCUGUAAGUAAGCAUUUCACUGUAAGCUCUACGGCGCAUGUGGCAUACGAUUUGAUUGUCAGCUAACCAUCAACAGGGAACACAAGUAAGAUUUCCCUCAAGCACCUCUUUGCUGGCAACCCCGAAGGUGGCAUCAGUUCCCUCAUGCCUUACAUUACUUCCUAUGCCAAAAACACUUGAUGUUUUUUUUAAACUAAGUAUAUUUAACUCUUUCCUCUGCUUCCUUCAGGAUAUUUUUUUUAAAGAUCCCACUCUCUCAUUUUUCUGUUUAUUUUCUCUAGGUACCAGUUAGCCCAGGAUGCUUUGCCAGAGCAGAGGAAAUGGUUACAGUAUCUAAUGGAGACUUUGAGGACAGAGAGAGUGACCGUGCAACAGGACCUAGAUGGACGGCUGUCUGACUUGGAGGAUCAGCUGGAGAGUGUUGGAGCGGAGGUCAAGGAUAUCCUCAAGGGCAUCUGGAGUGUCCUGGUGAAGAGAGCCAUGCAGCUUUCCAAGGAAAUGCAGCUUUAGGUCAGUGUCCCCAACUGCACUCAGGAAGAUGACAUUGACCUCACCCUUCACCUAGCAAUGAACUCUGCUCUCCUAUAGAGGAGUGUGAUGACCGUAUGGAUGAUUUUCAUGUCGGUGCUGCUGACAGUAUUGAAGAGACUGGGUGCCAGGUGUCUGUUGGGCUUAAUAGCAGGUGUCUUUGCUUCGGAUACCCAUCCUUGGUGCCCCGCCAACCCGCUUCUGCCGCCUCCCAGGUGUCAAAGGGCAGGAAACUGUCGUUCAGCAGUCAGAGUCUCCUUGCUCCUCUAUGUUGAGCCCAGACAGUCUUGAGGCACACCCCGUGCAGCUACGACCCCCUCCUGGCCAGGAGGAAGCUCACCCCUGUGUGUCACGUGUGGACGCCGCUUCCACAGGAAGUGUCACAUUCUGCCCAUCUAUGCCUUAUCCACCACCUCUCUUAACAUCGUCCUGAUACGGGGACUGUUGCUGCGGAAACUGCCCCCUCCCCUCACCGCACCCAGUCAGAAUUUGUGUCCAAUGUCUGGCUUCUCCACACACUGUUGAAGAGCGUGAAGUAUUCCAAGUCAGUGGACCGAUUUGAGGCAUGUUUCGGGAGGGAGCUGGUCAAAACGCUUGUGGGGAUCCUGCACCCUUCGCUGCUCGUCAACCCCCACCAAGGGGAAGCGGAGAGGAGUGCAGAACAAGAGGGGGGCAAGGAGAAAGUGUCCAUGAGGAGAAUCCAAGGCCUCUAGAGGAGCACGCAGGCAGAGUUCUUUCACACAGGACUCGAUGAAAGCUGGAGAAUGGCAGCAGAAGGCCGUAUUUGUGUAUUUAAUUUGGUCUUUGAAUUCCUUGGUGAACAUAUUUGUACAUAGUUGCAGCCAAAUAUUGGCACCCUUGCACUUUUUUUUCCUUUAAAAAAAAAAAUUUCUUCUAAAAUAACUUGAAAUUUGGAAAAACCUUUGGUAUCUACACCUUACUGUAUUUUCAACAUUACAGACCCAAUUUACCCAAUUGGUAAAUUUAAGUUUACAAUUUGGCAUGUACAAAAUGAUUGGCAAGUACUUGGUUGCAUAGCCUUUGGCCAAGAACUACAGACAAAUGCUUCUUGUAGGCAUCAGUAAGGUGGCUGCAUCUUAUUACUGGUGAUUUUACUCAGCCUUCAGAAGCAAACUGCUCUAAUUCUUUAAUGUUUGAGGGGUGCCCUCCACCAACUGCUGUUGUCAGCUCUCGCCAUAGGUUAUGGAUGUGGCAACUGCUCGGCCUCGUUCCUGCCAUCCAGGACCUCCUAUACCAGGCGGUGUCAGAGGAGGCCCUAAAAAUUGUCAGACUCCAGCCACCCUAGUCAUAGACUGUUCUCUCUGCUACCACACGGCAAGCUGUGCCAAGUCUAGGUCCAAAGGUCUUAACAGCUUCUACCCCCAAGCCAUAACUCCUGAACAGCUAAUCAAAUGGCUACCCAGACUAUUUUCAUUGCCCCCUUUCCUGCACCUAUUUUAUGCUGCUGCUACUCUCUGUGUAUUAUCUAUACAUAGUCACUUUAACUCUACCUACAUGUACAUAUUACUUCUACUAACCGGUACCUACUCACAUUGACUCUGUACCGGUAGCCCCUGUAUAUAGCCUCGCUAUUUGUUAUUUUACUGCUGCUCUUUAAUCAUUUGUUACUUUUUAUAUAAUUUGGUUGUGUGUGU